GACGGAGGAUGCAAGCGUUAUCCGGAAUGAUUGGGCGUAAAGCGUCCGCAGGUGGCAGUUCAAGUCUGCUGUCAAAGACCGGGGCUUAACUUCGGAAAGGCAGUGGAAACUGAACAGCUAGAGUAUGGUAGGGGCAGAGGGAAUUCCCGGUGUAGCGGUGAAAUGCGCAGAUAUCGGGAGGAACACCAAUGGCGAAGGCAGCUCGCUGGGACGGUACUGACGCUGAGACGCGAAAGCGUGGGGAGCGAACAGG
rnacentral:rRNA from 1 species